rnacentral:tRNA from 1 species
GGUGGUGUGGCUCAGUGGUAGAGACCUGACAGCCCACAUGAGGCCCUGGGUUCAAUUCCCAGCACCCACCA